UCUCCAACAAUCCUGAACAGAAUGAGACGGAGGAAUGAUGCACUGUUUUAUUAGUUAAAUUAAAAUAAAUAGUUAAUUUAAAUGGAAAAUUAGACGUUUUUUUUUUUUUUACAGGAGAACGGAUAAAACCAGAGCAGCCAGAGCUGUUUGCAUCUUGACAUCUAUGCUGGACGACGUAUUUUCAGCCACCUAACAAAAGAAAUCAUGGCAGAAGCUGCAGGCAGACGAUGGACUGUUAUGAGAGUCAUCAAAUAUCUGUUCCUCAUCCUGACUCUGCUGUCUCUCCUUUACAUCGGAAAGUUACUCAUAUUUAACAACCCAGUGGACAUGUUGAAGGAAAGUUUAAAAGCGUUGUUAGAGGAAUCAGUGAAGAUGAACAAAGAAGAACAAAGUAGGCUUGAAACUCUCUCUCGACUCCUGGAUGAUGUGAG